CGCUAUCACUCCUACGGGAGGCAGCAGUGGGGAAUUUUGGACAAUGGGCGCAAGCCUGAUCCAGCAAUGCCGCGUGAGUGAAGAAGGCCUUCGGGUUGUAAAGCUCUUUUGUCAGGGAAGAAACGGUGGGAGCUAAUAUCUCCUGCUAAUGACGGUACCUGAAGAAUAAGCACCGGCUAACUACGUGCCAGCAGCCGCGGUAAUACGUAGGGUGCAAGCGUUAAUCGGAAUUACUGGGCGUAAAGCGUGCGCAGGCGGUUUUGUAAGUCUGAUGUGAAAUCCCCCGGGCUCAACCUGGGAAUUGCAUUGGAGACUGCAAGGCUAGAAUCUGGCAGAGGGGGUAGAAUUCCACGUGUAGCAGUGAAAUGCGUAGAUAUGUGGAGGAACACCGAUGGCGAAGGCAGCCCCCUGGGUCAAGAUUGACGCUCAUGCACGAAAGCGUGGGGAGCAAACAGGAUUAGAUACCCUGGUAG
rnacentral:rRNA from 1 species